CAAGUCGAACGAAGUAGCAAUACUUAGUGGCAGACGGGUGAGUAACAUGUAGGUAUCUUCCCUUUGGUGAGGAAUAACACGAGGAAACUUGUGCUAAUACCUCAUAAGUCUUUACGGAGAAAGCUUUAUGCGCCAAAGGAUGAGCCUGCAUUUGAUUAGUUUGUUGGCGGGGUAAUGGCCUACCAAGACUUUGAUCAAUAGCUGAUCUGAGAGGAUGAUCAGCCACAUUGGGACUGAGACACGGCCCAAACUCCUACGGGAGGCAGCAGUAGGGAAUAUUGCACAAUGGAGGAAACUCUGAUGCAGCGAUGCCGCGUGAGUGAAGAAGGCCUUUGGGUUGUAAAGCUCUUUCGUCGGGGAAGAAAAUGACUGUACCCGAAUAAGAAGGUCCGGCUAACUUCGUGCCAGCAGCCGCGGUAAUACGAAGGGACCUAGCGUAGUUCGGAUUUACUGGGCUUAAAGAGUUCGUAGGUGGUUAAAAAAGUUGGUGGUGAAAUCCCAGAGCUUAACUCUGGAACUGCCAUCAAAACUUUUUAGCUAGAGUAUGAUAGAGGAAAGCAGAAUUUCUAGUGUAGAGGUGAAAUUCGUAGAUAUUAGAAAGAAUACCAAUUGCGAAGGCAGCUUUCUGGAUCAUUACUGACACUGAGGAACGAAAGCAUGGGUAGCGAAGAGGAUUAGAUACCCUCGUAGUCCAUGCCGUAAACGAUGUGUGUUAGACGUUGGAAAUUUAUUUUCAGUGUCGCAGUGAAAGCAUUAAACACACCGCCUGGGGAGUACGACCGCAAGGUUAAAACUCAAAUGAAUUGACGGGGACCCGCACAAGUAGUGGAGCAUGUGGUUUAAUUCGAAGAU
rnacentral:rRNA from 1 species